GCCCGCCUAGCUCAAUCGGAUAGAGCGUCAGACUCUUACUAGACGGGUAAUCUGAAGGCUGCGAGUUCGACCCUCGCGGUGGGCU